AUAGUAUACAAGAAGUCUCAUGAUCACCACCAUACCUGACGCAGGCGCAAUUCGUGCGAUUCAACAACAGAUAAAACGGCGUUAUGGUAGCGAAACAUUGCCAGUCGCUAUGCGCUUAGUCCAGUGUGUGAACUGUUUUCCUCGCAUUGACCAGUUUGCAUGUGAAACUUAAUAUCGCGUAUAGUUUAAUCUUCACAUAUGUGAAUUUACUAUGGUUAAAAAAAUAAUUAAAAAAUAGAAACAAUUGGUAAAAACACUAUUUUUGCAUGGCUAUGCGAUGGAUGAAAAGCACAUGAAUAUUUCCGUGAAUAAUGGAUGUAAGUUCAUUAAUUCCGGCGGGGCUUCAAGGCGGGCAAACAGAUGUGUGCGACAUCCAAGCAGGAUACAAUAAAUUUUCAGAAAAUUUGCGAAAAUUAACGCCACAAGCUAUACAAUGUGCCAUUUUUUGUGGCGGAUCCAGAUGCAAGUAUGAAAAUCCAAAAGCUUGGCUACCUGUCCAUAUGGCAAUACAAAACAUCUUCUCGCACUGGGUGACUGACGAUGUCCUUGCGAUGGCACGACCGAAUACCGCACAGAUAAUAAAAAAAGAUAUAAUUGCCCAAUUCCAAGGGUGGAGCAUAAAAACCAUAAUAAACCUGCAAACACCUGGCGAGCACGCGAGUUGCGGUGGCCCGCUCGAAGAGAGUGGCUUCACAUAUGAUCCUAACUUUUUUAUGAAAAAUGAUAUUUACUUUUAUAAUUUCGCCCUGAAGGAUUACGGUGAUGCCACGGUGGGGAAACUUCUGGACAUGGUCAAGGUUGUAGCCUUUGCUGUGCAAGAAGGAAGAGUGGCCAUUCACUGUCAUGCCGGUCUUGGCAGGACCGGUGUUCUGAUCGCGUGCUACCUUAUUUACAGUCUUCGUGUGAGGGCAAACGAUGCAAUAAGAUUUGUCCGUAUGAAACGUCCGUCCGCCAUACAAACGCGCGGACAAAUACUUUGCAUUCAGGAAUUUGAGCACUUUGUGCUUCCGCAAAUGAUAGUAUUUCCUUUACACAGUACAACCGGAGAUCGCAAACCGUACAAUCUUCAAAUGCACCUGAAGAAACAACAUAAUAUCCUGCAUGGAUAUGAGCAGCGCACCUUUAAACAUAUACCGAAGAUUGUUUUUGUUAUUUGCGAACGGAUACUGCAACUCUGUGAUUGUCAGGAAGAUAAUUCGCCUUCCGAAAUUGAGUAUACAAUUUCCAACGUGCCUUUUACGCAAAAGUUCAUCUGUCACGCGUUAGACAAAUUUCGUGACGGCAAGGGUAACAUGCGGCACUCCUAUUCGUGGGCGGAAUCUCUUACUGACUCAUCCUACGAAUAUUCCACUUCGACGAAAGCGUGCGGUAGUAGUCAAGGAUCGUCCCGAGGUACGUCUGAUGACAUAGGAAGAUUGAGCGAUGUAUUUUGCAUGUCACCGGAUACUCCUUCCUGCGACUCCACAUUUCCAGGUCUGGAUGACAGUUGCGUUGAUGAUGUUCUGGGCGACGGUAUUCACGAUCAAGAUUUAAUCGACAAUGAUUGUUAUAAAGAAAUUCAAUCGCAUAUUGACCUAAAAACCGUCGCCCGUGAUUACACAACGGUGACGGCCGAAGAAGCUAUCAAAGCACUGAUCAGAGAUAACGCUUCUCUUCCUGAUUCUAUAAAGAAACGUUUGCAUCAUUAUCAAAGUGAUUUGAACCAUCGAUCUACUGCUUGGCAACGAUUAGAAUUGGAAACUAAUUUAGAAGUGCUAUCGAUGCUCCUGUUCGAGUGGCUGGAAGGCCUGAAACAUCCGCUUCUUGACGUUAACUGUCUCAGUUACAUCGUCGUAUGGAGCUCAAAACCACAACGGUGCCUUGGAAAACUGUCCCUUUGCACGAGAUAUUUAUUGGAAUACCUUUUACGAUUUGUUACCCGUUUAAGACCCGUGACAGCCGAAAGCCAGAGCUUGAUCACCAAAAGACUUAUGGCGGCGCUGACGCAACAAACGAUUUGGAUUAAGAACUCGUUUUAUCCUCGAAAAAAACAUCUUCAGAAACUGCGACGCGGCACCGCCGGGAAGCUCAAUGAGUUCUUUAUUCGCCUGAUGAACCUAAUAGAGGAAGUUAACACGCAGGAGUUGGACAAGCCCCCAUGGGCGUCAAAGUGGGAAUUAUUGUCCAAGCAUUUGCGAGAUAUGGAUAUUCAGAAGAACAGCAACGAAUGAAUGCAAUAAACGUACGAUUUAGCAUUGAAACGAAUUUCUUCUAUUUGUCGCAUGAUAGAUAUAUUCUUCAUUUUUUGUGCCAUAAGUAACAGCUGCAGAUAAUUACGUAAGCAGAAUAUAGCGAGAAGUUGAAGAAGGAUAAGAUUUUUGUGAUACAAUACGCAAUGCAAAGAUACGAUAGCGGACAAUAUCUUUGUUACAUGGUGCAUAUCUUAUAUUAAUAUUUUAUUGCUGCUAAAACUGUGACGACAUCGCACAUUACGUAAUCAAACACUAUUAUGCUUUUAAUCGAUUAGUGCAAUCGACUUCCAGUACUAAUACCGAUUAUAUGGACUUUUAGAUCGCUUAAUUUAAAAAUUAUGUAUUAUAAUAUAUAGAUUUAGUUUUCGAUUGUAAACAUUGUACAAUUAUAGUUAAUCUAUAAUAAUUAUUUUUACAAUAAAGCAUAGAAUGUGACUUUCAAAA
rnacentral:misc_RNA from 1 species